rnacentral:rRNA from 1 species
GCCUGUUUAUCAAAAACAUGUCUUUUUGAAAAUAAUUUAAAGUUUAAUUUGCCCACUGAUAAUUUAUUGAAGGGCUGCAGUAUUUUGACUGUACAAAGGUAGCAUAAUCAUUAGUCUUUUAAUUGGUGACUUGUAUGAAGGAUUGGAUGAGAUAUAAACUGUUUUAAAUAUAAAAAAAAAUUGAAUUUAAUUUUUUAAUUAAAAAGUUAAAAUAGAUUAAAAAGACGAGAAGACCCUAUAGAGUUUUAUAUUAUUUUAACUUUAAUUUAUUUAUAAAUUUAUUGAAUUUAAAUUUAAAAUAAUAUUUUGUUGGGGUGAUAGAAAAAUAAGAAAAACUUUUUUUUUAGUUAACCAUAAAUAAAUGAAUAUUUGAUCCAUUAAUAUUGAUUAUAAGAAAAAAUUACCUUAGGGAUAACAGCGUAAUUUUUUUUUUUAGUUCUUAUAAGAAAGAAAGUUUGCGACCUCGAUGUUGGAUUAAGAUAAAAUUUAA